AUACUAUUCCCUUCUUUCGAAAAUAUUUGUCAUUCAAAUAGAUAAAAAAAAUGUAUCUAGAUGUAUUUUAGUUCUAGAUACAUCUCUUUUUAUCUAUUUUGAUGACAAGUAUUUUCGAACGGAGAAAGUACCAG
rfam:Triticum aestivum genome assembly, contig: Triticum_aestivum_CS42_TGACv1_scaffold_500545_6BL